rnacentral:rRNA from 1 species
CUACGGGGGGCUGCAGUGAGGAAUAUUGCACAAUGGGGGAAACCCCGAUGCAGCAACGCCGCGUGGAGGAUGACGCAUUUCGGUGUGUAAACUCCUUUUAUGAGUCAAGAAAAUGACGGUAGCUCAUGAAUAAGCACCGGCUAACUCCGUGCCAGCAGCCGCGGUAAUACGGAGGGUGCAAGCGUUACUCGGAAUCACUGGGCGUAAAGGACGCGUAGGCGGGAUGUCAAGUCAGGUGUGAAAUCCUAUGGCUCAACCAUAGAACUGCACUUGAAACUGGCAACCUAGAGUAUGGGAGGGGGAGAUGGAAUUAGUGGUGUAGGGGUAAAAUCCGUAGAUAUCACUAGGAAUACCGAAAGCGAAGGCGAUCUCCUGGAACAUUACUGACGCUAAGGCGUGAAAGCGUGGGGAGCAAACAGGAUUAGACACCCUGGUAGUC